GGAAUAUAAGAACCCGUCUCUUAAUUUUUAACUAAAAAAACUAAGAACCGGCUCUUAAAUAAGAGUUUUAAGAGCUGCUUCUUAGCUUUUUUAGUUUAAAGUUAAGAGACGGGUUCUUAUAUUCC
rnacentral:pre_miRNA from 1 species